rnacentral:rRNA from 1 species
UACGUAGGGUGCGAGCGUUGUCCGGAAUUAUUGGGCGUAAAGAGCUUGUAGGCGGUUUGUCGCGUCUGCCGUGAAAAUUCGAGGCUCAACCUCGAACUUGCGGUGGGUACGGGCAGACUAGAGUGUGGUAGGGGAGACUGGAAUUCCUGGUGUAGCGGUGAAAUGCGCAGAUAUCAGGAGGAACACCGAUGGCGAAGGCAGGUCUCUGGGCCACUACUGACGCUGAGAAGCGAAAGCAUGGGGAGCGAAUAGG